rnacentral:rRNA from 1 species
CAGUCGAAGAUACCAGCUGGCUGCAACUGUUUAUUAAAAACACAGCACUGUGCAAACACGAAAGUGGACGUAUACGGUGUGACGCCUGCCCGGUGCCGGAAGGUUAAUUGAUGGGGUCAGCGCAAGCGAAGCUCCUGAUCGAAGCCCCGGUAAACGGCGGCCGUAACUAUAACGGUCCUAAGGUAGCGAAAUUCCUUGUCGGGUAAGUUCCGACCUGCACGAAUGGCGUAAUGAUGGCCAGGCUGUCUCCACCCGAGACUCAGUGAAAUUGAACUCGCUGUGAAGAUGCAGUGUACCCGCGGCAAGACGGAAAGACCCCGUGAACCUUUACUAUAGCUUGACACUGAACAUUGAGCCUUGAUGUGUAGGAUAGGUGGGAGGCUUUGAAGUGUGGACGCCAGUCUGCAUGGAGCCGACCUUGAAAUACCACCCUUUAAUGUUUGAUGUUCUAACGUGGACCCGUGAUCCGGGUUGCGGACAGUGUCUGGUGGGUAGUUUGACUGGGGCGGUCUCCUCCUAAAGAGUAACGGAGGAGCACGAAGGUUGGCUAAUCCUGGUCGGACAUCAGGAGGUUAGUGCAAUGGCAUAAGCCAGCUUGACUGCGAGCGUGACGGCGCGAGCAGGUGCGAAAGCAGGUCAUAGUGAUCCGGUGGUUCUGAAUGGAAGGGCCAUCGCUCAACGGAUAAAAGGUACUCCGGGGAUAACAGGCUGAUACCGCCCAAGAGUUCAUAUCGACGGCGGUGUUUGGCACCUCGAUGUCGGCUCAUCACAUCCUGGGGCUGAAGUAGGUCCCAAGGGUAUGGCUGUUCGCCAUUUAAAGUGGUACGCGAGCUGGGUUUAGAACGUCGUGAGACAGUUCGGUCCCUAUCUGCCGUGGGCGCUGGAGAACUGAGGGGGGCUGCUCCUAGUACGAGAGGACCGGAGUGGACGCAUCACUGGUGUUCGGGUUGUCAUGCCAAUGGCACUGCCCGGUAGCUAAAUGCGGAAGAGAUAAGUGCUGAAAGCAUCUAAGCACGAAACUUGCCCCGAGAUGAGUUCUCCCUGAGACUUUAGGUCUCCUGAAGGAACGUUGAAGACGACGACGUUGAUAGGCCGGGUGUGUAAGCGCAGCGAUGCGUUGAGCUAACCGGUACUAAUGAACCGUGAGGCUUAACCUUACA